ACCUGGUUCUCUCUUUUGGUCUCCCUGUUAUGAACCUUGUAACUUUGCCUCCUGUGUUCUCUGACCAUUCUCCAAUACUCGUGAAGUUACUUUGCCAUGUCCUGUCCCUGUGUGUGAAGCACCAGCUACUAGGUUCAGAGCCCUGGAUGCAGAAACUGUUGCAAUGUUCAUGGACUGUAUGUCUGUAAGGUUAGAGACCUUUAACCCAGAUCCAUCUAACAUUAAUCACUAUUCACAACACUUUGAUUUACUUUUUAAUCAGGUCCUGGAUGUGGUUGCCCCUCUCAAGCUUUGCAAGUCUAGGCCUAGGAGGGAGGCUUGGCUCUCUGAUGUCACACGGGCUUGUAGAUCCUCUGAGAGAAAGUGGAAAAAGGAUGGCCUACAGGUCUUGCGUGAGUUGUUCAGAGCAUCUCUGGUUGCUUAUCAGGAUGCAGUGAGGGUUUCUAGAACUGCAUAUUUUGCAGACAUCAUUGAAACAAACUCUAAGAAUCCCAAGAUUAUCUGCAAAACACUGAACUCUGUUCUGGUGUAUCAGGAGUAGAGCUGAAACAACUAAUCGAUUUAAUCGAUUAUAAUCGAUUAUUAAAAUAGUUAACUUUUUUAGUCAUCGAUUAGUUGUUUAAUAAUCAUAUUUUACCGCAUAAAGUCUAUUUUUACCACAAUCUGACAUCGGUUACAAUCUGUUAAAUUUGCCGCCAGUGUGUGGCAGUAAUGAGCCACUGAUCUACCAGUGGAGCCGUAGAAGAUGAAAUGAGCCAAUGAGUGCCCUCGGUUUUCAUGACGUAUCACGUUACUGACGCUCAUCUUGCUGUGAGAGAUGGCGGAACAAGAAGAAAUACGGAAGAAAAAUAGAAGCGACAAAACUGAAGAGAAACCCCAGACUUCACUCUAGAUGCCUUGAAAAGACGGGUGACCUGCAAAAUAUGCAAAAACCAUCUAGCAUGGCACGGAAGCACGACGUCCCUAAGUGAACAUUUGAGACGAAAACAUGUGGGAGCUGAUGCAGCAGAGGAAGAGCACCGCGGUCAAGUGAGCCGUCAUUUGGAAGAGCCAGCCCGAAAAAAACAAGCAACGAUGGACAACUACAUGGGGAACAAGACACUCACCCCCCAGCAAUUCAUACCACUUACAAACUCUAUUCUAAACAUGCUGGUAAAAGACAUGAGGCCACUACCCAUGGUGGAAGGAGCAGGCUUCCAGCUAAUGCUAAAAAAUUAUUCUGGACUGAUAUUUUGCACUGUUUAGCUCAUUUUAUACUGCUGACUGUUCAUGUGCAAUAAAAUAGAUUGCAGUCAACUGCACAA